rnacentral:rRNA from 1 species
GACAGAGGAUGCAAGCGUUAUCCGGAAUGAUUGGGCGUAAAGCGUCUGUAGGUGGCUUUUUAAGUCCGCCGUCAAAUCCCAGGGCUCAACCCUGGACAGGCGGUGGAAACUACCAAGCUGGAGUACGGUAGGGGCAGAGGGAAUUUCCGGUGGAGCGGUGAAAUGUGUAGAGAUCGGGAGGAACACCGGUGGCGAAGGCGGGUCUCUGGGCAUCUCCUGACGCUGAGGCGCGAAAGCGUGGGGAGCAAACGGG